AACAUCUCCUAUCCCUUGAAAGAGACAUGUUCAGAGACUUGUGUCAAAGUGGUUCUAAAGCUCAUUCAGUUGAGUCAAGAUUCACCACCUGUGGUGGCUCGCCUUGGUUGUCGGCUUGAUUACAUCUGGAAUGAACUACAAUCCAGAAGUGGAGGGCACACCUAUGAAAAGUUAACCUGGACGAGCG